GCUCUAAUAGCGUAUAUUAAUGUUGUUGCAGUUAAAAAGCUCGUAGUUGGAUUGGUGUUCGACAAAUGGUCUGCUUCGGUUUGUACUGUUUGUUGGCGCUUCUUUUCUGGGGAACUCACUGCUCUUAACUGAGGGGUGUUGUAACGCAGAUCGUUUACUUUGAAAAAAUUAGAGUGUUCAAAGCAGGCCAACGCAUUUUG
rnacentral:rRNA from 1 species